UAUUUCAACGGACCAAAGCCGCAAGGCUGAGGUCAGUGGCGAACGGCUGAGUAACACGUAGGUGACCUGCCCAGAAGUGGGGGACAACAUCUCGAAAGAGGUGCUAAUACCGCAUGUGAUCACCGGUUCAUUCGGGUGAUCAAAGGCGCAAGCCGCUUCUGGAGGGGCCUGCGGCGGAUCAGCUAGUUGGUGGGGUAACGGCUCACCAAGGCGACGAUCCGUAGCUGGUCUGAGAGGAUGGCCAGCCAGACUGGGACUGAGACACGGCCCAGACUCCUACGGGAGGCAGCAGUUAGGGAUCUUGUGCAAUGGGGGAAACCCUGACACAGCAACGCCGCGUGAGGGAUGAAGGCCUUCGGGUCGUAAACCUCUUUUCUGAGGGAAGAAACCUGACGGUACCUCAGGAAUAAGCAACGGCUAACUACGUGCCAGCAGCCGCGGUAAUACGUAGGUUGCGAGCGUUGUCCGGAAUCACUGGGCAUAAAGCGCACGCAUGCGGCCUCCAAAGCCCAUGGUGAAAGCCCUCGGCCCAACCGAGGGAUGCCCAUGGGAACUCCGGGGCUCAUAAGACGGGAGAGGCGGAUGGAAUUUCCGGUGUACCGGUAAAAUGCGUACAUACCGGAAGGAACACCAGUGGCGAAAGCCAUCCGCUAGCCCGCUCUUGACGCUCAGGUGCGAAAGCUAUGGUAGCGACCGGGAUUAGAUACCCCGUUAGUCCUACCCGUAAACGAUGGGCACUAUGGUGUUGUCGGUAUCAACCCCGACACUGCCGAAGCUAACGCAUUAAGUGCACCAGCCUGUGCGAGUACUGCUGGCAAGGCUAAAACUCAAAUGAAUUGACGGGG
rnacentral:rRNA from 1 species